UGGGGAAUAUUGCACAAUGGACGGAAGUCUGAUGCAGCAACGCCGCGUGCGGGAUGACGGCCUUCGGGUUGUAAACCGCUUUCAUCCAUGACGAAGCGCAAGUGACGGUAGUGGGAGAAGAAGCACCGGCUAACUACGUGCCAGCAGCCGCGGUGAUACGUAGGGUGCGAGCGUUGUCCGGAUUUAUUGGGCGUAAAGAGCUUGUAGGUGGUUUGUUGCGUCGGGAGUGAAAACCUAGGGCUUAACCCUGGGCCUGCUUCUGAUACGGGCAGACUUGAGGAAGGUAGGGGAGAUCGGAAUUCCUGGUGGAGCGGUGGAAUGCGCAGAUAUCAGGAGGAACACCGGUGGCGAAGGCGGAUCUCUGGACCUUUCCUGACGCUGAGAAGCGAAAGCGUGGGGAGCAAACAGG
rnacentral:rRNA from 1 species